AUUGAACGCUGGCGGCAGGCUUAACACAUGCAAGUCGAGCGAGCGGCGGACGGGUUAGUAAUGUCUGGGAAACUGCCUGAGGGAGGGGGACAACUACUGGGAACGGUUGCUAAUACCGCAUUCCUUCCGAUGUGCCCAGGUGGGAUUAGCUAGGAGGUGGGGUAAUGGCUGACGAAGACGACGAUCCCUAGCUGGUCGGAGAGGAGGACCAGCCACACUGGAACUUAGACACGGUCCAGACUCCUACGGGAGGCAGCAGUGGGGAAUAUUGCACAAGGGGCGAAAGCCUGAUGCAGCCAUGCCGCGUGUGUGAAGAAGGCCUUCGGGUUGUAAAGCACUUUCAGCGAGGAGGCGUUACUCGCAGAAGAAGCACCGGCUAACUCCGUGCCAGCAGCCGCGGUAAUAC
rnacentral:rRNA from 1 species